rnacentral:misc_RNA from 1 species
AAGCGGCAGCAGCAGCAGCGAUACGUUGACAUUUAGUACUAAAAUAUUGAAUCGGGUUGUGAGCUCAGUUCAGUUGGUGCCUGGUGGCUACCCUUGUAUUUCCCGGCAAAUGUAAAGAUGUCCGUGUAACAGAGUCGCUUUUCGAGUGAAUUAUUACUCAGUAUUAUCCUCUAGCCGUUCGUCGUCCCCGGAUCCGUAUCAACACCAACGAUCAUGGACAGGAGAAAAAUGUCAACCUCGGGGGACUCCCUCUACCAGAUCUUGGAAAUCCAAAAGACAGCUACCCCUGACGAGAUAAAAAAAACAUAUCGAAAGCUCGCUCUUAGAUUCCAUCCAGAUAAAAACCCCAACAAUCCGGAGGCAGCUGAUAAGUUCAAAGAAAUAAACAGGGCACACGCCAUCCUCACGGACCUAACAAAACGCAACAUAUACGAUAAUUACGGCUCUCUUGGUCUCUAUGUAGCCGAACAAUUUGGCGAGGAAAAUGUUAAUGCUUAUUUCGUGGUUACUUCUGGCUGGUGCAAGGCCCUGUUCGCAGUCUGUGCCAUAAUAACCGGUUGUUACUGUUGCUGCUGCUGUUGCUGCUGCUGUAACUUCUGCUGCGGCAAAUGUAAACCAACGCAACCAGAGGACAGCGGUGCCUACCAUAAUUUACAGCGGAACCAGAAUGCAGAAGGAGGCAUAGUGACCGACCAGCCGAGAAGUGGGCGCAAGGAGGAUGAAAGCGACGAAGAUGCUGUAACGGCGCAACCUCAGGGAGGCGCUUCGCAGGGAGCGCAACCCAUAUUCGCAAUGCCACCACCGCCGACAACGGCCAAUGAAAAUACAACCCUUAACAGCGGCGGAGACCGCGUGAUCUACACGACCGCCACAAACCCGUUCACAGGAGCACCGGUCGGCCAAUCGACCAACGGACCAACCGAAUGGUAGUUACACAACGUUAAAAUCUGCCAGAACAGCAAACACCUUUACCGAAGUUACUAAGGGACUUUACGUUAAUCACAUGCCAAUACAUCGGUACGUAAGUGAGAAAUGAAACUGAUCAAGACUAAGAAUAUUAUAGAAACGUAUUACUAAUUAAAAUAGUAGUUCACCAAAGUUUCAAUUGUAUUAGUAGAUUAUUUAUUGUUCAUUACUCUCUCAUCAUUCUAAACUAGUCUUACGUUUUUAUAGAUUGAUGAAAAAAAAAACUUGCCGAAUGUGUCCCACACGCUGCGAAAUAUGUUAUAAUGUGUUUAUUUUUUCUGCGAUAGAAAAAUACUUUCGUAAUAACUAGCAUUAUUCAAUCGUUAAUAAUUAUUAUUAUAUCAGUUAUACUUUUCCAGUACCUUGUACAAGAAUUACAAUUUUCAAUUUGAGAACGUCAAAUCACUGUCAUUAUUGUUCGAGGGUGUGGCCGUUGACUCAUUAAUUAAUUAUAUUUUAAAUAAUGGAAACACUUAAUUUAGCGUGUCCAAUAUUACGAAACGAAAUUCUAGACGAUUGGUUUGAUUUAUGACUCGAUAUUGUAGAUAAUGUAAGACUUAAUAUUAUGCUUAGAAAAUUGUUCUAUUUUUCUGAUUUAUUAUGUACUAAAAACAUUCGAAGACAUUCUCGAGAUAUCUUUUUCACAAACUUCCGUACCGUGUAAUUGUUGUGACCAAGUCGCACCCUCGAUUUACAAUAAAUUUUUAGCCAGAGCGCUAUUAUCGUUGGGUAAAAUGACAAUAUGCGUAUAUCAAAAUCACAAUUUGUUUGAAACAUAUACGUGAUUGCAUUUAUAUACUCAUGCUAUUAUGGCGUAUUUCUUCGUUAAUGUCUUAUAGAUGUACAUUUCAUCAUUAUAUAUACGAUAUAAAGUAUACUACGUAAUUCAAGUCUAUUGGAAGAAAGGAUGAUGAAAAGGUGGAAUAUGAAAGAGAAUCUAACAGUUCAAACCGAGGGAAAUACUGUAAUAGAUGUAGCUUGCGAGUUUCUUAAAUCAUAGUUAAUUAUAGUUCGUAAGACGGCAGAAUUUAUACAUAGAUAUACACUAUUCAACGGAGUGACAGUAAACUAUUUUGCAAGUUGAUGAUUUCACGUAACUAAAAGUUUGAAAUUGUUGAUUCUCAUAUAUUGUACACAUUAUAUAUACAUAACAAAAACUAAAACUUCGUUCGAUGGAGUGAAGUAAAAAAACUAUAAAACAAAAAAAAAAAAAAAAUUCAAAAAAAAAACAAAUUGACAAACAAAUAUGUAUUUAAU